rnacentral:tRNA from 1 species
CGGGGCGUGGCGCAGUAUGGUAGCGCACCGCGUUUGGGACGCGGGGGUCGGCGGUUCGAGUCCGCCCGCCCCGA